rnacentral:tRNA from 1 species
GUUAAUAUAGUUUCAAAGAAAAUAUCAGACUGUGAAUCUGAAGAUAGGAUAUAACAACCCUUAUUAACC